GAUGAACGCUGGCGGCGUGCCUAAUACAUGCAAGUCGAGCGAACAGACGAGGAGCUUGCUCCUUCGAUGUUAGCGGCGGACGGGUGAGUAACACGUAGGUAACUUACCUAUAAGACUGGGAUAACUUCGGGAAACCGGAGCUAAUACCGGAUAAUAUUUCGAACCGCAUGGUUCGAUAGUGAAAGAUGGCUUUGCUAUCACUUAUAGAUGGACCUGCGCCGUAUUAGCUAGUUGGUAAGGUAACGGCUUACCAAGGCAACGAUACGUAGCCGACCUGAGAGGGUGAUCGGCCACACUGGAACUGAGACACGGUCCAGACUCCUACGGGAGGCAGCAGUAGGGAAUCUUCCGCAAUGGGCGAAAGCCUGACGGAGCAACGCCGCGUGAGUGAUGAAGGUCUUCGGAUCGUAAAACUCUGUUAUUAGGGAAGAACAAACGUGUAAGUAACUGUGCACGUCUUGACGGUACCUAAUCAGAAAGCCACGGCUAACUACGUG
rnacentral:rRNA from 1 species